GACGAACGCUGGCGGCGUGCCUAAUACAUGCAAGUAGAACGCUGAAGGAGGAGCUUGCUUCUCUGGAUGAGUUGCGAACGGGUGAGUAACGCGUAGGUAACCUGCCUGGUAGCGGGGGAUAACUAUUGGAAACGAUAGCUAAUACCGCAUAAGAGUAGAUGUUGCAUGACAUUUGCUUAAAAGGUGCAAUUGCAUCACUACCAGAUGGACCUGCGUUGUAUUAGCUAGUUGGUGGGGUAACGGCUCACCAAGGCGACGAUACAUAGCCGACCUGAGAGGGUGAUCGGCCACACUGGGACUGAGGCACGGCCCAGACUCCUACGGGAGGCAGCAGUAGGGAAUCUUCGGCAAUGGACGGAAGUCUGACCGAGCAACGCCGCGUGAGUGAAGAAGGUUUUCGGAUCGUAAAGCUCUGUUGUAAGAGAAGAACGAGUGUGAGAGUGGAAAGUUCACACUGUGACGGUAUCUUACCAGAAAGGGACGGCUAACUACGUG
rnacentral:rRNA from 1 species